GUUAUAUGGUCAAGUGAAUAAGUGCAUACGGUGGAUGCCUUGGCAGCUGGAGGCGAUGAAGGACGUGUAAGCCUGCGAAAAGCAUCGGGGAGUUGGCAAAAGAACUGUGAUCCGAUGAUGUCCGAAUGGGGAAACCCACCUAGUGUAAGCUAGGUAUCUGCACCUGAAUCCAUAGGGUGUAGAGGCGAACCCGGGGAACUGAAACAUCUAAGUACCCGGAGGAAAAGAAAUCAACCGAGAUUCCGUGAGUAGCGGCGAGCGAAAGUGGAACAGCCCUUAAGCUUGGAAUGUUUUAGGAGAGGCCAUUGGAAAAUGGCGCCAUAGAAGGUGAUAGCCCUGUAUCUGAAAGGGCAUUCCAAGUGAAAUCGAGUAGGUCGGGACACGUGUUAUCUUGACUGAAUAUGGGGGGACCAUCCUCCAAGGCUAAAUACUCCCAGCUGACCGAUAGUGAACCAGUACCGUGAGGGAAAGGCGAAAAGAACCCCGUUGAGGGGAGUGAAAUAGACCCUGAAACCGUAUGCAUACAAGCAGUGGGAGCCUGUCUUCGGACGGGUGACUGCGUACCUUUUGUAUAAUGGGUCAGCGACUUACUUUUAGUGGCAAGGUUAACCGUAUAGGGGAGCCGUAGGGAAACCGAGUCUGAAUAGGGCGUGUAGUCGCUAGGAGUAGACCCGAAACCGAGCGAUCUAUCCAUGGGCAGGGUGAAGGUUAGGUAACACUGACUGGAGGCCCGAACCCACUGUCGUUGAAAAGCCAGGGGAUGACCUGUGGAUAGGAGUGAAAGGCUAAUCAAGCUCGGAGAUAGCUGGUUCUCCCCGAAAGCUAUUUAGGUAGCGCCUCGCGUCUCACCCUCGGGGGUAGAGCACUGUUUCGGCUAGGGGCCCAUCCCGGGUUACCAAACCGAUGCAAACUCCGAAUACCGAGGAGUGCAAUCGCGGGAGACAGACGGCGGGUGCUAACGUCCGUCGUCAAGAGGGAAACAACCCAGACCGCCAGCUAAGGUCCCCAAGUUCUAGUUAAGUGGGAAACGAUGUGAGAAGGCCCAGACAGCCAGGAGGUUGGCUUAGAAGCAGCCACCCUUUAAAGAAAGCGUAAUAGCUCACUGGUCGAGUCGGCUCGCGCGGAAGAUGUAACGGGGCUAAAACUAGACACCGAAGCUGCGGCUGCACAUUUAGGUGUGCGGGGUAGGGGAGCGUUCUGUAAGCUGUAGAAGGUCAAUCGAGAGGUUGGCUGGAGGUAUCAGAAGUGCGAAUGCUGACAUGAGUAACGAUAAAGGGAGUGAGAAGCUCCCUCGCCGGAAGACCAAGGGUUCCUGCGCAACGUUAAUCGGCGCAGGGUGAGUCGGCCCCUAAGGCGAGCACGAAAGUGGUAGUCGAUGGGAAACUGGUUAAAAUUCCAGUACUGCUAAUGACUGCGAUGGAGGGACGGAGAAGGCUAGGUCAGCCUGGUGAUGGUUAUCCAGGUUUAAGCUAGUAGGCGGUGUUCUUAGGCAAAUCCGGGAACGCAACGCCGAGAAGCGACGACGAGCUCUCAUUAGAGAGCGAAGUGAUUGAUGCCCUGCUUCCAGGAAAAUCUUCUAAGCUUCAGGUCAUUAGGAACCGUACCCCAAACCGACACAGGUGGUCAGGUAGAGAAUACCAAGGCGCUUGAGAGAACUCGGGUGAAGGAACUAGGCAAAAUGGCACCGUAACUUCGGGAGAAGGUGCGCCGCUGAUGGUGAUUGGACUAGCUCCAUGAGCUGUUGGCGGUCGAAGAUACCAGGUGGCUGCGACUGUUUAUUAAAAACACAGCACUCUGCAAACACGAAAGUGGACGUAUAGGGUGUGACGCCUGCCCGGUGCCGGAAGGUUAAUUGAUGGGGUUAGCUUCGGCGAAGCUCUUGAUCGAAGCCCCGGUAAACGGCGGCCGUAACUAUAACGGUCCUAAGGUAGCGAAAUUCCUUGUCGGGUAAGUUCCGACCUGCACGAAUGGCGUAACGAUGGCCACGCUGUCUCCACCCGAGACUCAGUGAAAUUGAACUUGCUGUGAAGAUGCAGUGUAUCCGCGGCUAGACGGAAAGACCCCGUGAACCUUUACUACAGCUUCACACUGGACUUUGAACCUACUUGUGUAGGAUAGCUGGGAGGCUUUGAAGCCGGGACGCCAGUUCUGGUGGAGCCGACCUUGAAAUACCAGCCUGGUAUGUUUGAGGUUCUAACUCUGACCUGUAAUCCAGGUCGAGGACAGUGUGUGGUGGGUAGUUUGACUGGGGCGGUCUCCUCCCAAAGCGUAACGGAGGAGCACGAAGGUGCGCUAAGCAUGGUCGGACAUCAUGCGGUUAGUGUAAAGGCAUAAGCGCGCUUAACUGCGAGACGUACAUGUCGAGCAGGUACGAAAGUAGGUCUUAGUGAUCCGGUGGUUCUGAAUGGAAGGGCCAUCGCUCAACGGAUAAAAGGUACUCCGGGGAUAACAGGCUGAUACCGCCCAAGAGUUCACAUCGACGGCGGUGUUUGGCACCUCGAUGUCGGCUCAUCACAUCCUGGGGCUGAAGCCGGUCCCAAGGGUAUGGCUGUUCGCCAUUUAAAGUGGUACGCGAGCUGGGUUUAGAACGUCGUGAGACAGUUCGGUCCCUAUCUGCCGUGGACGUUGGAGACUUGAGGAGAGCUGCUCCUAGUACGAGAGGACCGGAGUGGACGAACCACUGGUGUUCCGGUUGUGUCGCCAGACGCAUUGCCGGGUAGCUAAGUUCGGACGGGAUAACCGCUGAAGGCAUCUAAGCGGGAAGCCCCCUUCAAGAUGAAGUCUCCCUGGGCUGUAAGGCCCCUGAAGAGCCGUUUAAGACUAAGACGUUGAUAGGCUGGGUGUGUAAGCGUUGUGAGGCGUUGAGCUAACCAGUACUAAUGGCUCGUGAGGCUUGACCAUAUAACGCCAAAG
rnacentral:rRNA from 1 species